rnacentral:misc_RNA from 1 species
UACGGGGGGGGCAAGCGUUGUUCGGAAUUACUGGGCGUAAAGGGCGCGUAGGCGGUUUGUUAAGUCGGAUGUGAAAACUAAGGGCUCAACCCUUAGCCUGCAUCCGAUACUGGCAGGCUAGAGUGCGAGAGGGGAAGGCGGAAUUCCUGGUGUAGCGGUGAAAUGCGUAGAUAUCAGGAGGAACACCGGCGGCGAAGGCGGCCUUCUGGAUCGCAACUGACGCUGAGGCGCGAAAGCUAGGGGAGCAAACAGG